CUGAAGUUUCUGUACACCCAGGUCUAUGUCUUCCGCCUCCAGGCCCUGCAGAGGCUCCUUUCUGGUGCAGAUAGUCUGGCGUGGAGCAUGUUGGCGCAUGCCUUCCUCCGCCGCCUCCAAGGGCUCCGAUAGGACCGGCAGCUCUUUUUUUCUCCAUCCGAGAGACCUUCCAUGGGACCUCUCCGAGCUGCUGGUC